rnacentral:rRNA from 1 species
UAGGGAAUCUUCGGCAAUGGGGGCAACCCUGACCGAGCAACGCCGCGUGAGUGAAGAAGGUUUUCGGAUCGUAAAGCUCUGUUGUAAGAGAAGAACGUGUGUGAGAGUGGAAAGUUCACACAGUGACGGUAACUUACCAGAAAGGGACGGCUAACUACGUGCCAGCAGCCGCGGUAAUACGUAGGUCCCGAGCGUUGUCCGGAUUUAUUGGGCGUAAAGCGAGCGCAGGCGGUUUAAUAAGUCUGAAGUUAAAGGCAGUGGCUUAACCAUUGUUCGCUUUGGAAACUGUUAAACUUGAGUGCAGAAGGGGAGAGUGGAAUUCCAUGUGUAGCGGUGAAAUGCGUAGAUAUAUGGAGGAACACCGGUGGCGAAAGCGGCUCUCUGGUCUGUAACUGACGCUGAGGCUCGAAAGUGUGGGGAGCAAACAGG